AUUGAACGCUGGCGGCGUGCCUAAUACAUGCAAGUCGAACGGAGUGGAGCACGGGUGAGUAAAGUAUAGCUAAUCUGUCCUACACUAGAGGACAACAGUUGGAAACAGCUGCUAAUAAUCUAUAUUGUGGGAUGAGGCUAUAUUGUAUCAGCUAGUUGGUGAGGAAAUGGCUCGCCAAGGCUAUGACGCAUAACUGGUCAGAGAAGAGGAUCAGUCAAAUGCGAAGGGAGGCACGGUCCGGACACCUUCGGCAAGCAGCGAUAGGCUAUAUGGCUCAAUGGGCGUGACUGUGAAGGAGCAACGCAGCGUAAAGGACUACACUUAGCGGAGCGUAUACGUCUUUGUUUAUGUGAGCGGUACCUAACGAAUAAGCACCGGCUAACUCCGUGCCAGCAGCCGCGGUAAUUC
rnacentral:rRNA from 1 species